rnacentral:rRNA from 1 species
AGUUUUGAGCUAAAUAUAUUUAUAAUAUUAGUUAUUUAUGAAGGUGUUGUAAAACCUUUAUUUAAAAUUAUAUUUAGGGGUGAUAGGCCUUUCAAAAACUAAGAUAUCUUGAAUCUAAUUAAAAGUAUGUAGUACAAUUAACACAACUAUUAAGUGAUUAGGCUUUAUAGAAUUAUUAACCUAUAAGAUUUUAUUUACUAUAAUUUAAUAAUUAAGUACAUAAAUAUAUUAAUAUACAUAUAUUAUAGUUUAUAAAAGAGUGAUUAGAUAGAUUUAAGUUCAUAUUUCUUAUAAUAAUGUUAAUAUUAGUAUAAAGAUUAUAUUUAUAUGAUGAACUCGGCAAAAAUACUUCUCAACUGUUUAUCAAAAACAUAACUAUGUGAAUGAAUACAUAGCGGUUUCUGCUCAA